rnacentral:lncRNA from 1 species
CCUGGAGUUGUCCUGGGCAGGCCAGGAGCAGGGCUUCGAUAUUCCUUGUUGGGGCUCUUCCCGCUCAUGGUAGGAUUCUUCUUAAGGAGCUCCUCUUCUUAAGAAGACAAAAUGCCAUGUUGUCUGAAGCUUCAACUGCACCACAGGCACUCUGCAAAAAUAUCUUCUUACAGCUACAAGGGCUUCACCCCCACUAUAUUUGACUGUGUUGGGAGCUCGAGCACAGGCAUGGGACAUAGAGAUGCUCAGAACCUCCUGGAAAUAUGCUACUUUCCACAGCUUCAUUUUUCUGCACUUCCAGUGUUCAGCAUAAAAUCAUGA